CCUUCUCCUUUCCUCUUGGAUUUCUUCUUCUUCCCUUCCCUGAGAUGAGAUGUACGUUCCUGCCUCACGCACACAGCAACUGGACUCUAUGCACAGCGAGGAGGAUGAAGACACCCAGCCAUGGAUUUUUAGCAGCACUCACUCAAGGAAAAAGAGACCUCAACACGCCAAUGGAUGCAGCCAGCCUCCAACUCACCACGCACCUGCACCAACUUGAUGUAGGGAGAGGAGGAGUGAGGCUUCUCUCACGGGAUGACGCCCAGCCAUGGGGCAGCAACAAUCCAAGAUUGCUGUCAAAAUAAGCCUAAAUUCAGAGUCUUCGGAAGUCAAUUACUUUGAGCCUUUGAGUUAGGAGGUAUACCAGUCUCUUUGUAGUUUGCU